rnacentral:tRNA from 1 species
GGCCUGCUGGCCCAAUGGCAAGGCGCUUGACUACGACUAUUCAGGAUCAAUUCCUGAAGCCCGCAUCAAGAGAUUGCAGGUUCGAAUCCUGCGUAGGUCA